GACGAACGCUGGCGGCGUGCUUAAUACAUGCAAGUCGAACGGUGAAGCGCCUUCCUUUUUGGUGGGUGUGGAGGAGUGGCGAACGGGUGAGUAACACGAGAGUAACCUGCUCCCUUCUUCUGGAUAACCGGAUGAAAGUGUGGCUAAUACGUGAUAUACUGAGUCUGUCGCAUGAAUAGUCUGGGAAAGAUUUUGUUUCGGUGGGGGAUGGGCUCGCGGCCUAUUAGCUUGUUGGUGGGGUGAUGGCCUACCAAGGCGGCGACGGGUAGCCGGCCUGAGAGGAGGGUCGGCGACCACAGAGGGGAGACACGGCGGAGACUACUACGGGAGGCAGCAGUAGGGAAGAUUAUGGCAUGGGGGAAGGCAGGACGGUGCAGCGCCGCGGCGGGGGGGAUGGACGUCGGCGGGUAGUGCACUUCUUUCGGGAGUGAAGAAGGCCUGCCGUGUUUGUGGGUGGGUUGACGGUAGCUAAACAAGAAGCGCCGGCUAACUACGUG
rnacentral:rRNA from 1 species